UACAGAGGUCUCAAGCGUUGUUCGGAUUCAUUGGGCGUAAAGGGUGCGUAGGCGGCGCGGUAAGUCGGGGUGUGAAAUCUCGGAGCUUAACUCCGAAACUGCAUUCGAUACUGCCGUGCUUGAGGACUGGAGAGGAGACUGGAAUUUACGGUGUAGCGGUGAAAUGCGUAGAUAUCGUAAGGAAGACCAGUGGCGAAGGCGGGUCUCUGGACAGUUCCUGACGCUGAUGCACGAAGGUCAGGGGAGCAAACGGG
rnacentral:rRNA from 1 species